rnacentral:rRNA from 1 species
AAUAUUGGACAAUGGGCGAAAGCCUGAUCCAGCCAUGCCGCGCGUGUGAAGAAGGUCCNCGGAUUNUNAAGCACUUUAAGUUGGGNGGAAGGGGUUGAAGCCAAUACCUUCAAUCUUCGACGUUACCAACAGAAUAAGCACCGGCUAACCCUGUGCCAGCAGCCGCGGUAAUACAGAGGGUGCAAGCGUUAAUCGGAAUUACUGGGCGUAAAGCGCGCGUAGGUGGUUCAGUAAGAUGGAAGUGAAAUCCCCGGGCUUAACCUGGGAACUGCUUUCAUAACUGCUGAGCUAGAGUACGGUAGAGGGUAGUGGAAUUUCCUGUGUAGCGGUGAAAUGCGUAGAUAUAGGAAGGAACACCAGUGGCGAAGGCGACUACCUGGACUGAUACUGACACUGAGGUGCGAAAGCGUGGGGAGCAAACAGG